UUCCGACAGAGGGGGAGCAAGACGUGCAUGGUAUACACAUUAUAUCUGUUUGAGUUUGUGAAAAAGGAAAAAUGAAAUCCAGUCACAUCAUUUGUAUUGCUUUUUUUCUCGCCGUUAUGUGCCGAACAUACUAAGGCAUAGCGAAUGUGUUUGGAAAUAUACACAUCGUAAGAAGGGACUAACUAAAUAUAAG